rnacentral:rRNA from 1 species
GACGAACGCUGGCGGCGUGCUUAACACAUGCAAGUCGAACGGAAAGGCCCUGCUUUUGUGGGGUGCUCGAGUGGCGAACGGGUGAGUAACACGUGAGUAACCUGCCCUUGACUUUGGGAUAACUUCAGGAAACUGGGGCUAAUACCGGAUAGGAGCUCCUGCUGCUGGUGGGGGUUGGAAAGUUUCGGCGGUUGGGGAUGGACUCGCGGCUUAUCAGCUUGUUGGUGGGGUAGUGGCUUACCAAGGCUUUGACGGGUAGCCGGCCUGAGAGGGUGACCGGCCACAUUGGGACUGAGAUACGGCCCAGACUCCUACGGGAGGCAGCAGUGGGGAAUAUUGCACAAUGGGCGGAAGCCUGAUGCAGCAACGCCGCGUGCGGGAUGACGGCCUUCGGGUUGUAAACCGCUUUCGCCUGUGACGAAGCGUGAGUGACGGUAAUGGGUAAAGAAGCACCGGCUAACUACGUG